rnacentral:snRNA from 1 species
AUGUUCGAUUCAGCAGCACAUAUACUAAAAUUGGAACAAUACAGAGAUUAGCAUGGACCCUGCACAAAGAUGACACACGAAUUCAUGAAGCGUUUCAUAUUUAA